GAACAGAAUAUCUUUGGCCUCCACUUCAACAAAACGUAAAUGGCAUCUUGACAACUGUGCUGGUUUUUUACUUUAAGUACUAAUAAAACAAUAAUAAUCUCAUGUAUCCACUAUCCAACAUGUGAAGGGAGAAAAAAGGGAAAGCCAAUCCAUUUAAUGGGCAAGGACUCUGCAACAGACUGCAACUCUCUGCGGACUUUGUUAGCCGCGGGUAGCACUCUCUCCAUUCCAUUUCAUAGCCCUGAAAAAGAUCAAGAUUGUAAUUGGAAGGUGUACCAUCUCCAGAUUGAACAUUUCAUAGCAUAUGAAAGGGUGGGCAGUAGCAGUGAAGAAAUCAUGCCUCCAUAAUGGCAUAGGGACCCAUUAUUUUUGUUUUUGCUAUUGCCUCUGAAUCUGAUGAGGUAAAUUGGAAAUCAAGAGCCACCAAUCAAAAACUACGUACCCCACUCCAUAUAAACAUCAGCGUCAGAGAAGAUAAGCUCAACAUGGGAGGACGACAAACUACCGCCUGGGUUACCUAAGCCAAGACACCCAAACAUUGACUCAUUGUAACCCAAUAUUUGCUUCUUUCUGCAAGGAAACCGACAUCUCCAUAACUCAUCUCCAUCUAAUUUGCAUUCAACGGUUGGAUCUUGUGACCAGUGUCUGUACAUGAAUUGAGUUCCAAGAGAAAUAUAUAUAUAUUCCGUCCCCUUAAUUUUUUUUAUGCUGUUACUAUCUUUGUUUAUGAUUCCUUUUAACUUUUAAAUUAGACAAAAAUUAUAUAAUUGAAUGUAUUAUAUCUUUUUCAUUAUCUUUA